rnacentral:rRNA from 1 species
UGGGGAAUAUUGCACAAUGGGCGAAAGCCUGAUGCAGCAACGCCGCGUGAGGGACGACGGCCUUCGGGUUGUAAACCUCUUUUAGCAAGGAAGAAGCGAAAGUGACGGUACUUGCAGAAAAAGCGCCGGCUAACUACGUGCCAGCAGCCGCGGUAAUACGUAGGGCGCAAGCGUUAUCCGGAAUUAUUGGGCGUAAAGAGCUCGUAGGCGGUUUGUCGCGUCUGCUGUGAAAACCCGAGGCUCAACCUCGGGCUUGCAGUGGGUACGGGCAGACUAGAGUGCGGUAGGGGAGAUUGGAACUCCUGGUGUAGCGGUGGAAUGCGCAGAUAUCAGGAAGAACACCGAUGGCGAAGGCAGAUCUCUGGGCCGUAACUGACGCUGAGGAGCGAAAGGGUGGGGAGCAAAACAGGCUUAGAUACCCUGGUAGUCCACCCCGUAAACGUUGGGAACUAGUUGUGGGGUCCAUUCCACGGAUUCCGUGACGCAGCUAACGCAUUAAGUUCCCCGCCUGGGGAGUACGGCCGCAAGGCUAAACUCAAAUGAAUUGACGGGGUCAUAGCUGUUUCCU